UACGUAGGGGGCUAGCGUUGUCCGGAAUCAUUGGGCGUAAAGCGCGCGUAGGCGGCCCGGUAAGUCCGCUGUGAAAGUCGGGGGCUCAACCCUCGGAUGCCGGUGGAUACUGUCGGGCUCGAGUACGGAAGAGGCGAGUGGAAUUCCUGGUGUAGCGGUGAAAUGCGCAGAUAUCAGGAGGAACACCAAUUGCGAAGGCAGCUCGCUGGGACGUUACUGACGCUGAGACGCGAAAGCGUGGGGAGCAAACGGG
rnacentral:rRNA from 1 species